AUACGGAGGAUGCGAGCGUUAUCCGGAUUUAUUGGGUUUAAAGGGUGCGUAGGCGGGCUGAUAAGUCAGUGGUGAAAGUUUGCAGCUUAACUGUAAAAUUGCCAUUGAAACUGUUAGUCUUGAGUGCAAAUGAGGUAGGCGGAAUGUGUUGUGUAGCGGUGAAAUGCUUAGAUAUAACACAGAACACCAAUUGCGAAGGCAGCUUACUGGGAUACAACUGACGCUGAGGCACGAAAGCGUGGGGAUC
rnacentral:rRNA from 1 species